UACGUAGGGGGCGAGCGUUGUCCGGAUUUAUUGGGCGUAAAGGGCGCGUAGGCGGUCUUUCAAGUCCCGUGUGAAAUCCCUCGGCUCAACUGAGGAACUGCACGGGAAACUGUCUGGCUUGAAUUCGGGAGAGGGAUGCAGAAUUCCAGGUGUAGCGGUGAAAUGCGCAGAUAUCGGGAGGAACACCUAUGGCGAAGGCAGCUCGCUGGGACGUUACUGACGCUGAGACGCGAAAGCGUGGGGAGCAAACAGG
rnacentral:rRNA from 1 species